CGGGAUAGCUCAGCUGGUAGAGCAGAGGACUGAAAAUCCUCGUGUCA
rnacentral:tRNA from 4 species